rnacentral:rRNA from 1 species
UUGAACGCUGGCGGCAUGCCUUACACAUGCAAGUCGAACGGCAGCACGGGUGCUUGCACCUGGUGGCGAGUGGCGAACGGGUGAGUAAUACAUCGGAACAUGUCCUGUAGUGGGGGAUAGCCCGGCGAAAGCCGGAUUAAUACCGCAUACGAUCUACGGAUGAAAGCGGGGGACCUUCGGGCCUCGCGCUAUAGGGUUGGCCGAUGGCUGAUUAGCUAGUUGGUGGGGUAAAGGCCUACCAAGGCGACGAUCAGUAGCUGGUCUGAGAGGACGACCAGCCACACUGGGACUGAGACACGGCCCAGACUCCUACGGGAGGCAGCAGUGGGGAAUUUUGGACAAUGGGCGAAAGCCUGAUCCAGCAAUGCCGCGUGUGUGAAGAAGGCCUUCGGGUUGUAAAGCACUUUUGUCCGGAAAGAAAUCCUUGGCUCUAAUACAGUCGGGGGAUGACGGUACCGGAAGAAUAAGCACCGGCUAACUACGUGCCAGCAGCCGCGGUAAUACGUAGGGUGCGAGCGUUAAUCGGAAUUACUGGGCGUAAAGCGUGCGCAGGCGGUUUGCUAAGACCGAUGUGAAAUCCCCGGGCUCAACCUGGGAACUGCAUUGGUGACUGGCAGGCUAGAGUAUGGCAGAGGGGGGUAGAAUUCCACGUGUAGCAGUGAAAUGCGUAGAGAUGUGGAGGAAUACCGAUGGCGAAGGCAGCCCCCUGGGCCAAUACUGACGCUCAUGCACGAAAGCGUGGGGAGCAAACAGGAUUAGAUACCCUGGUAGUCCACGCCCUAAACGAUGUCAACUAGUUGUUGGGGAUUCAUUUCCUUAGUAACGUAGCUAACGCGUGAAGUUGACCGCCUGGGGAGUACGGUCGCAAGAUUAAAACUCAAAGGAAUUGACGGGGACCCGCACAAGCGGUGGAUGAUGUGGAUUAAUUCGAUGCAACGCGAAAAACCUUACCUACCCUUGACAUGGUCGGAAUCCCGCUGAGAGGUGGGAGUGCUCGAAAGAGAACCGGCGCACAGGUGCUGCAUGGCUGUCGUCAGCUCGUGUCGUGAGGUGUUGGGUUAAGUCCCGCAACGAGCGCAACCCUUGUCCUUAGUUGCUACGCAAGAGCACUCUAAGGAGACUGCCGGUGACAAACCGGAGGAAGGUGGGGAUGACGUCAAGUCCUCAUGGCCCUUAUGGGUAGGGCUUCACACGUCAUACAAUGGUCGGAACAGAGGGUUGCCAACCCGCGAGGGGGAGCUAAUCCCAGAAAACCGAUCGUAGUCCGGAUUGCACUCUGCAACUCGAGUGCAUGAAGCUGGAAUCGCUAGUAAUCGCGGAUCAGCAUGCCGCGGUGAAUACGUUCCCGGGUCUUGUACUCACCGC